rnacentral:misc_RNA from 1 species
UUAAGUUCAGCGGGUAUCCCUACCUGAUCCGAGGUCAAGGUUAAAAAAAAAGCUUAAUGGGAGGAGGCGUACUGGGGUCGUGACACAAUGUACUGCGCACGAAGCCAAUAUACCGGCUGCCAAUGAAUUUAAGGCGAGUCCACACGCUAAGGCGGAACAAACACCCAACACCAAGCAGAGCUUGAAGGUUUAAAUGACGC